rnacentral:rRNA from 1 species
AACGCGAAGAACCUUACCCGGGCUUGAAAGUUAGUGAAUCAUUUAGAGAUAGAUGAGUGAGCAAUCACACGAAACUAGGUGCUGCAUGGCUGUCGUCAGCUCGUGCCGUGAGGUGUUGGGUUAAGUCCCGCAACGAGCGCAACCCUUAUCCCUAGUUGCCAUCGGGUCAAGCCGGGCACUCUAGUGAAACCGCCCCGGAUAACGGGGAGGAAGGUGGGGAUGACGUCAAGUCCUCAUGGCCUUUAUGUCCAGGGCUACACACGUGCUACAAUGGUCGGUACAAACCGUCGCAAACCCGCGAGGGGGAGCUAAUCGGAAAAAGCCGACCUCAGUUCGGAUUGGAGUCUGCAACUCGACUCCAUGAAGCUGGAAUCGCUAGUAAUCGCGGAUCAGAACGCCGCGGUGAAUACGUUCCCGGGCCUUGUACACACCGCGCAUA